GCAAGUCGAACGAGAAAGCACCUUCGGGUGUGAGUAGAGUGGCGCACGGGUGCGUAACACGUAGGUGACCUACCUUUAAGUCGGGGACAACAUCGGGAAACUGAUGCUAAUACCGGAUGUGUUGAUUAAUUUUGAAAGUAAAUCAACAAAGGGGGCCUUUGGCUCCUGCUUGAAGAAGGGCCUGCGGAACAUUAGCUUGAUGGUGGGGUAAUGGCUUACCAUGGCUACGAUGUUUAGGGGGUCUGAGAGGACGAUC
rnacentral:rRNA from 1 species